rnacentral:sRNA from 1 species
GCCUCUAUUUGAACUUGUAUGUCUAGCCUCCUUAGCCUAGCCUAGCCGCCCCUUUCCC